rnacentral:rRNA from 1 species
GAUGAACGCUGGCGGCGUGCCUAAUACAUGCAAGUCGAGCGAACGGACGAGAAUCUUGCUUCUCUGAUGUUAGCGGCGGACGGGUGAGUAACACGUGGAUAACCUACCUAUAAGACUGGGAUAACUUCGGGAAACCGUAGCUAAUACCGGAUAAUAUUUUGAACCGCAUGGUUCAAAAGUGAAAGACGGUCUUGCUGUCACUUAUAGAUGGAUCCGCGCUGCAUUAGCUAGUUGGUAAGGUAACGGCUUACCAAGGCAACGAUGCAUAGCCGACCUGAGAGGGUGAUCGCCCACCCUGGAAGUGAGACACGGACCAGGCUCCUACGGGAGGCAGCAGUAGGGAAUCGUCCGCAAUGGGCGAAAGCCUGACGGAGCAAGGCCGCGUGAGUGAUGAAGGUCUUCGGAUCGUAAAACUCUGUUAUUAGUGAAGAACAUAUGUGUAAGUAACUGUGCCCAUCUUGACGGUACCUAAUCAGAAAGCCACGGCUAACUACGUG